rnacentral:rRNA from 1 species
ACGGAAGGCAGCAGUGGGGGAUAUUGCACAAUGGGGGAAACCCUGAUGCAGCGACGCCGCGUGAACGAUGAAGUAUUUCGGUAUGUAAAGUUCUAUCAGCAGGGAAGAAAAUGACGGUACCUGACUAAGAAGCUCCGGCUAAAUACGUGCCAGCAGCCGCGGUAAUACGUAUGGAGCAAGCGUUAUCCGGAUUUACUGGGUGUAAAGGGAGCGUAGACGGUUUGCCAAGUCUGAUGUGAAAGGUAGGGGCGCAACCCCUAAACUGCAUUGGAAACUGGUAGACUAGAGUGUCGGAGAGGUAAGUGGAAUUCCUAGUGUAGCGGUGAAAUGCGUAGAUAUUAGGAGGAACACCAGUGGCGAAGGCGGCUUACUGGACGAUAACUGACGUUGAGGCUCGAAAGCGUGGGGAGCAAACAGGAUUAGAUACCCUGGUA